UGGCUUAUUCUAUGAUUCCUACCGAAAAAUGCGAUGUAUAUAGCUUUGGAAUUGUCGCAUUAGAGACAAUCAUGGGAAAGCAUCCGGGAGACCUUUUAUUACAGGAUUGUUCAUCCUCUAGCCAAACUGGAUCGCCGAUGCUGUUGAAGGAUGUGCUUGACCAACGUCUCUCACUCUCUAGGAUUCAUCUUCAAGAAGCGCAAAAUUUGGUCUUAAUCGCCAAAUUAGCGUUUGCAUGCUUGCACUCUGAUCCACAGUUUCGACCGACCAUGGGACAAGUCUCGCGUGAGCUUUGUGUUCAAGUACCACCAGAAAUGCCACUUUCUACAGUCAGUUUAGAGCAACUUCGCAAUUUCAAUGUGAAGAAAUUUGGAGCAUUCACUAGAGAUGGCGAUUUAUAGUUUUCACUACAGAGCCAACUUCUCUACGGACAUUACGAGAAUAGUGCGAUGUUUACAGCUUGGCAGCGUGGCACCAGAAAUAAUUAUGGGAAGGCUCCUGGGGAGAUCUCAUUUCCCAAUUAAUUCCAACAUUUUAUAGAGCAAUUGGGAAGUGAAUUUGUAAAAUGCAUUGGAUCAACAUCUCUUGCCUUCUUCAAAUCAAGAUGCAAACAAAAUUUAGCCUGUAUUACUAAAAGAGAUAAUGAUGCUACUAGUUUGUGAA